rnacentral:rRNA from 1 species
GCUACGUUCGGAACUGAUAACCGCUGAAAGCAUCUAAGCGGGAAGCAGGCUUUGAGAUGAGUUCUCACUGGAGCUUUAAGCUCCCUAAAGGGUCGUUGGAGACUACAACGUUGAUAGGUUGGGUGUGUAAGGACUGCGAGGUCUUGAGCUAACCAAUACUAAUUACCCGUGAGGCUUAACCAUACAACACCCAAGUGGUUUUAAG